AAAAAGGCUCUUUUCAGAGCCCCUUCUCGUUCACCAAAAAACGAGCU
rfam:Mesocricetus auratus contig191433, whole genome shotgun sequence.